UGAGAGCAAUCAAGUGCCUUAAGGGUGUUCGGUGGAUGCCUUGGCGCUGAGAGGCGAUGAAGGACGUGCUACGCUGCGAUAAGCCGUGGGGAGCUGCGAAGAAGCUUUGAUCCAUGGAUUUCCGAAUGGGGAAACCCACCUUCGAUAGCCGGAACUCCAAGACCUCAGUCGAAAGAUUGUGGUGUGGGGUUCGAUCAGAAAUGAGAGAUGCCUAAGCCUUUAGAUUUCGAUCGAAGAGGUUUUGGAUUUCCGGUUAUCAAAAGAAGGUAUGAGACUUCUGAAUACAUAGGAGGUUUCAAGCAAACCCAGGGAACUGAAACAUCUAAGUACCUGGAGGAAAGGACAUCAACAGAG
rnacentral:rRNA from 1 species